CAGUCGCCACGGGAAUACGAAGGGUGCAAGCGUUAAUCGGAAUUACUGGGCGUAAAGCGUGCGUAGGCGGUGAGUUAAGUCUGUUGUGAAAUCCCCGGGCUCAACCUGGGAAUGGCAAUGGAUACUGGCAAGCUAGAGUGUGUCAGAGGAUGGUGGAAUUCCCGGUGUAGCGGUGAAAUGCGUAGAGAUCGGGAGGAACAUCAGUGGCGAAGGCGGCCAUCUGGGACAACACUGACGCUGAGGCACGAAAGCGUGGGGAGCAAACAGGAUUAGAUACCCCCGUAGUCCCUGUCUCUUAUAC
rnacentral:rRNA from 1 species